rnacentral:rRNA from 1 species
UAGGGAAUCUUCGGCAAUGGACGAAAGUCUGACCGAGCAACGCCGCGUGAGUGAAGAAGGUUUUCGGAUCGUAAAACUCUGUUGUUAGAGAAGAACAAGGACGUUAGUAACUGAACGUCCCCUGACGGUAUCUAACCAGAAAGCCACGGCUAAAUACGUGCCAGCAGCCGCGGUAAUACGUAGGUGGCAAGCGUUGUCCGGAUUUAUUGGGCGUAAAGCGAGCGCAGGCGGUUUCUUAAGUCUGAUGUGAAAGCCCCCGGCUCAACCGGGGAGGGUCAUUUGAAGCUGGGAGACUUGAGUGCAGAAGAGGAGAGUGGAAUUCCAUGUGUAGCGGUGAAAUGCGUAGAUAUAUGGAGGAACACCAGUGGCGAAGGCGGCUCUCUGGUCUGUAACUGACGCUGAGGCUCGAAAGCGUGGCGAGCAAACAGG